rnacentral:rRNA from 1 species
GACGAACGCCGGCGGCGUGCUUAACACAUGCAAGUCGAGCGGAAAGGCCCUUUCGGGGGUACUCGAGCGGCGAACGGGUGAGUAACACGUGAGUAAUCUGCCUCUGGCUUCGGGAUAGCCACCGGAAACGGUGAUUAAUACCGGAUAUGACAUCUUCACGCAUGUGAUGGGGGUGGAAAGUUUUUUCGGCCAGGGAGGUGCUGGCGGCCGAUCAGCUUGUUGGUGGGGUAAUGGCCUCCCAAGGCUUCGACGGUGAGCCGGCCUGGGAGGGUGACCGGCCACACUGGGACUGAGACACGGCCCAGACUCCUACGGGAGGCAGCAGUGGGGAAUAUUGGACAAUGGGCGGAAGCCUGAUCCAGCAACGCCGCGUGAGGGAUGACGGCCUUCGGGUUGUAAACCUCUUUCAGCACAGACGAAGCGCAAGUGACGGUAUGUGCAGAAGAAGGACCGGCCAACUACGUGCCAGCAGCCGCCGUAACAC